rnacentral:rRNA from 1 species
GAUGAACGCUGGCGGCGUGCCUAAUACAUGCAAGUCGAGCGAACAGACGAGGAGCUUGCUCCUCUGACGUUAGCGGCGGACGGGUGAGUAACACGUGGAUAACCUACCUAUAAGACUGGGAUAACUUAGGGAAACCGGAGCUAAUACCGGAUAAUAUAUUGAACCGCAUGGUUCAAUAGUGAAAGACGGUUUUGCUGUCACUUAUAGAUGGAUCCGCGCCGCAUUAGCUAGUUGGUAAGGUAACGGCUUACCAAGGCAACGAUGCGUAGCCGACCUGAGAGGGUGAUAGGCCACACUGGAACUGAGACACGGUCCAGACUCCUACGGGAGGCAGCAGUAGGGAAUCUUCCGCAAUGGGCGAAAGCCUGACGGAGCAACGCCGCGUGAGUGAUGAAGGUCUUCGGAUCGUAAAACUCUGUUAUUAGGGAAGAACAAAUGUGUAAGUAACUAUGCACGUCUUGACGGUACCUAAUCAGAAAGCCACGGCUAACUACGUG